GACGAACGCUGGCGGCGUGCCUAAUACAUGCAAGUAGAACGAGUUGCGAACGGGUGAGUAACGCGUGGUAACCUGCCUCAUAGCGGGGGAUAACUAUUGGAAACGAUAGCUAAUACCGCAUACUGUGAGAUGGACCUGCGUUGUAUUAGCUAGUUGGUGAGGUAAAGGCUCACCAAGGCGACGAUACAUAGCCGACCUGAGAGGAUGCCCAGCCACACUGGAACUGAGACACGGUCCAGACUCUGACGGGAGGCAGCAGUGGGGAAUAUUGCACAAUGGGCGCAAGCCGGAUGCAGCCAUGCCGCGUGUGUGAAGAAGGCCUUCGGGUUGUAAAGCACUUUCAGCGGGGAGGCGUUACCCGCAGAAGAAGCACCGGCUAACUCCGUGCCAGCAGCCGCGGUAAUAC
rnacentral:rRNA from 1 species